GCAGUAUCAGAUGGAUAGCGUACCAUGGCGUGCCCUAUCGCACUUUUCGGAUGGGCAGCCUAAAUUGCUCCGAAGGCAAAGGUCACACGUUCGAAUCGUGUCGGGUGCGCCA
rnacentral:tRNA from 1 species